CAAUGGAUGACGAAGAAGCCUACGGGGGCUUCGGCCAGGUGGAUACAAUGAUCAGAAGGGUUUUUGUCCCUCCUAUAAUGGCAGAGUAUUGGGAGAAGGCGGAGUUUCCGUUCCAAAUUAUUCCCAAACUCGGUGCUCUUAGUAUUGCGGGUGGUACCAUCAAGGGUUAUGGCUGCCCUGGUCUCUAGCUUACUACAAGUGCAGAGAUUGCUUGGGUCGAUGCAAGUUGCUCAACUUUUAUCUUGGUGCAUUCAUCUCUAACCAUGCAUA